ensembl:lncRNA
AACUGCAGAGAGAAGAAUGCGCUUAAAAUUCCAAGGAGGCAGACUUGUGUUAUACACAACAAGUCAGUUUAUUUAUUACAAUUAGUAAAUAUUAUACAACUACUGUAGAAGUAUUAUAUAAAGUAUAAUUCUGAGUAAGUUCUUUGCGUCUGAGCAAUCAGUAUUUAUCAUGCACAGAUCACGAGCUGACUCUCCUCCACCUGUCUCUUAUUCCCUCACUCCCAUAUAUGUCUCUGCUUUUCUGUCCUUGGUCUUGAGUAGAUUGUUUUGUUCUUGCUGGUGUUCUGUGUAUGAGGUCAAGCAUCGUUGUCUUACUCUCUGUUCAGCUGUGCUUCAGGACUCGUAGUACAGAGAUCCGGCAGCUCGAGUGUCCGCAGACAAGGCCUGCCAGCUCUGAAAUCAUUCAACUAUUGUUUAUGUUAUUCUGUGUUUUGUGGCGAGAAUAAAGGAUCUCCUUUCUCACAACUCUACAUCUGAGUCCUCUAUCAAUCCCAGGCCGUGACACCAGGAAAUAAACAAAAUUAUACACCCUUAGACAUUAUAUAUUACCUGAAUACAUUAAACAAUGAGGCAGGGUGAUUGUAUCCUUAUGCAUAUUACACAACUAUAUAUAUAGACAUAUACAUUUGUUGAAAAUUACAUAGUUCCUUAUUAUUACAUUUUACACCACUGUAACAGACAUUAUACAUUUCUUGGAUUAUAUUUUUGCUAAAUGUAGAAUAUCAACGAGCAAUAUAAUUGUAUAUUAAAUAAUAUAAGCCCAUAUAUAUUUCAUUAUCUGCAAAAUUAAUUCGAGCUGCUGGAGGUGUGCAGCAGUAUUUAUAUCGUUUUUUUAACCUCUGACAGAGUAUAGAAGCCCAAGAGGCGAAACUGUUGUGUUAUGGGUAACAGUCUGUAGAUGGCGCUGCGGAGGCGCGGCCGCCAUUAUGGACUGAAAGCUGCUGAAAUCGUUAGCGCCAGUUUGCGCGCCACACAACCAAACUGUGAAGAAGAUGAGCAAGUGGUCAAAACGCAAGCAGUGUUCUGCAAUAAAUUGCAAAAAUUACCAGUCCACCAGAAGCGAUUUGGCAUUUCAUCGAUUUCCAAAGGAUGCACAAAGGUGUGCCAGGUGGGUCCAAAAUCUAAGGAAUGCAUCCCUUCAUGGCAUACCUUUGGUUCAGCUGCAUCGGACCUACAGGGUGUGCAGUGCCCAUUUCCACAGCAGCCAGUUCAAAAGACCAUCUGAUGUGUAUGUGUAAUA